CUAUGCGCCUUGCCAGCCCGCCUCAGAAACUUAAAGGAAUUGACGGGGCCCGCACAAGCGGUGGAGCAUGUGGUUUUAAUUCGAUGAUACGCGAGGAACCUUACCUGGGCUUAAAUGCUUAAUGACGUACUGGGAAACUGGUAUUUCUUCGGACAUUUUGCAAGGUGCUGCAUGGUUGUCGUCAGCUCGUGCCGUGAGGUGUCGGGUUAAGUCCCAUAACGAGCGCAACCCCUAUUGUUAGUUGCCAUCAGGUCAUGCUGGGGACUCUAACAAAACUGCCCGCGUAAGCGUGGAGGAAGGUGGGGAUGACGUCAAAUCAGCACGGCCCUUACGUCCAGGGCUACACACGUGCUACAAUGGCCGGUACAGAGGGCAGCCACUUGGUGACAAGGAGCAAAUCUCAAAAGCCGGUCUCAGUUCGGAUCGGAGUCUGCAACUCGACUCCGUGAAGUUGGAUUCGCUAGUAAUCGUAGAUCAGCAAUGCUACGGUGAAUACGUUCCCGGGCCUU
rnacentral:rRNA from 1 species